AUUGAACGCUGGCGGCAGGCCUAACACGUGCAAGUCGAGCGGAUGAAGGGAGCUUGCUCCUGGAUUCAGCGGCGGACGGGUGAGUAAUGCCUAGGAAUCUGCCUGGUAGUGGGGGAUAACGCCCGGAAACGGGCGCUAAUACCGCAUACGUCCUGAGGGAGAAAGUGGGGGAUCUUCGGACCUCACGCUAUCAGAUGAGCCUAGGUCGGAUUAGCUAGUUGGUGGGGUAAAGGCCUACCAAGGCGACGAUCCGUAACUGGUCUGAGAGGAUGAUCAGUCACACUGGAACUGAGACACGGUCCAGACUCCUACGGGAGGCAGCAGUGGGGAAUAUUGGACAAUGGGCGAAAGCCUGAUCCAGCCAUGCCGCGUGUGUGAAGAAGGUCUUCGGAUUGUAAAGCACUUUAAGUUGGGAGGAAGGGCAGUAAGUUAAUACCUUGCUGUUUUGACGUUACCAACAGAAUAAGCACCGGCUAACUUCGUG
rnacentral:rRNA from 1 species